rnacentral:rRNA from 1 species
UACAGAGGGGCCGAGCGUUAGGCGGAAUCACUGGGCUUAAAGCGUGUGUAGGCGGACUUCUAAGUACCUUGUGAAAUCCCACGGCUCACCCGUGGAACUGCUGGGUAUACUGGUCGUCUUGAGCCACCUAGGGGCGAGCGGAACAAAUGGUGGAGCGGUGAAAUGCGUAGAUAUCAUUUGGAACGCCAACGGUGAAAACAGCUCGCUGGGGGUGUGCUGACGCUGAGACACGAAAGCCAGGGGAGCGAACGGG